rnacentral:rRNA from 1 species
UACGUAGGGUGCAAGCGUUAUUCGGAAUUACUGGGCGUAAAGCGCACGUAGGCGGCUUUGCAAGUUAGAGGUGAAAGCCCGGGGCUCAACUCCGGAAUUGCCUUUAAAACUGCAUCGCUAGAAUUGUGGAGAGGUAAGUGGAAUUCCGAGUGUAGAGGUGAAAUUCGUAGAUAUUCGGAAGAACACCAGUGGCGAAGGCGACUUACUGGACACAUAUUGACGCUGAGGUGCGAAAGCGUGGGGAGCAAACAGG